AGGAGCCGCACAUUCCGUACCGGAACAGCAAACUGACCUUCCUGCUGCAGAACUGCCUGGGGGGACACGCCAAGGUGCUGAUGUUCGUCACCAUUUCCCCCCUGGAGGAGAAUUUUGGGGAAUCGCUCAACUCCCUGCGCUUCGCCAGCAAGGUGAACGAGUGCAUGAUCGGCACCGCCCAGACCAACCGGAAGUGACGCACACCAUGGAUUCGCUCAUUCCCGCCUUUUUAACCGCAACAACCAAUAAAG